rnacentral:rRNA from 1 species
GUGAGGAAUAUUGGUCAAUGGACGAGAGUCUGAACCAGCCAAGUCGCGUGAAGGAAGACGGUUCUAUGAAUUGUAAACUUCUUUUGUGCAGGAAUAAAGAGGGUUACGUGUAACCUUUUGUAUGUACUGUACGAAUAAGGAUCGGCUAACUCCGUGCCAGCAGCCGCGGUAAUACGGAGGAUCCGAGCGUUAUCCGGAUUUAUUGGGUUUAAAGGGUGCGUAGGUGGAUUGAUAAGUCAGCGGUGAAAGUUUGCAGCUUAACUGUAAAAUUGCCGUUGAAACUGUCGGUCUUGAGUGCGAAUGAGGUAGGCGGAAUGUGUUGUGUAGCGGUGAAAUGCUUAGAUAUAACACAGAACUCCGAUUGCGAAGGCAGCUUACUGGGAUGCAACUGACACUGAUGCACGAAAGCGUGGGUAUCAAACAGGAUUAGAUACCCCGGUAGUCC